GGGUUGUGAGGUUAAGCGACUAAGCGUACACGGUGGAUGCCCUGGCAGUCAGAGGCGAUGAAGGACGUGCUAAUCUGCGUAAAGCGACGGUAAGGUGAUAUGAACCGCUACAGCCGUCGAUGUCCGAAUGGGGAAACCCGGUGCACUCUGUGCAUCAUUGCAGCAUGAAUACAUAGUGCUGCAAGGCGAACCGGGGGAACUGAAACAUCUAAGUACCCCGAGGAAAAGAAAUCAACCGAGAUUCCCCCAGUAGCGGCGAGCGAACGGGGAGCAGCCCAGAGCCUGAAUCAGCAUGUGUGUUAGUGGAAGCGUCUGGAAAGUCGCAGGGUACAGGGUGAUACUCCCGUACACAAAAAUGCAUAUGCUGUGAGCUCGAUGAGUAAGGCGGGACACGUGGUAUCCUGUCUGAAUAUGGGGGGACCAUCCUCCAAGGCUAAAUACUCCUGACUGACCGAUAGUGAACCAGUACCGUGAGGGAAAGGCGAAAAGAACCCCGGCGAGGGGAGUGAAACAGAACCUGAAACCGUGUACGUACAAGCAGUGGGAGCCUCUUUAUGGGGUGACUGCGUACCUUUUGUAUAAUGGGUCAGCGACUUAUAUUCUGUAGCAAGGUUAACCGUAUAGGGGAGCCGCAGGGAAACCGAGUCUUAACUGGGCGUUAAGUUGCAGGGUAUAGACCCGAAACCCGGUGAUCUAGCCAUGGGCAGGUUGAAGGUUGGGUAACACUAACUGGAGGACCGAACCGACUAAUGUUGAAAAAUUAGCGGAUGACCUGUGGCUGGGGGUGAAAGGCCAAUCAAACCGGGAGAUAGCUGGUUCUCCCCGAAAGCUAUUUAGGUAGCGCCUCGUGAACUCAUCUCCGGGGGUAGAGCACUGUUUCGGCUAGGGGGCCAUCCCGGCUUACCAACCCGAUGCAAACUGCGAAUACCGGAGAAUGUUAUCACGGGAGACACACGGCGGGUGCUAACGUCCGUCGUGAAGAGGGAAACAACCCAGACCGCCAGCUAAGGUCCCAAAGUCAUGGUUAAGUGGGAAACGAUGUGGGAAGGCACAGACAGCCAGGAUGUUGGCUUAGAAGCAGCCAUCAUUUAAAGAAAGCGUAAUAGCUCACUGGUCGAGUCGGCCUGCGCGGAAGAUGUAACGGGGCUAAACCAUGCACCGAAGCUGCGGCAGCGACACUUAGGUGUUGUUGGGUAGGGGAGCGUUCUGUAAGCCGUCGAAGGUGUGUCGUGAGGCAUGCUGGAGGUAUCAGAAGUGCGAAUGCUGACAUAAGUAACGAUAAAGCGGGUGAAAAGCCCGCUCGCCGGAAGACCAAGGGUUCCUGUUCAACGUUAAUCGGAGCAGGGUGAGUCGACCCCUAAGGCGAGGCCGAAAGGCGUAGUCGAUGGGAAACAGGUUAAUAUUCCUGUACUCGGUGUUACUGCGAAGGGGGGACGGAGAAGGCUAUGUCAGCCGGGCGACGGUUGUCCCGGUUUAAGCGUGCAGGCGGAGGGUCCAGGUAAAUCCGGUCCCUUAUUAACGCUGAGGCGUGAUGACGAGGCACUACGGUGCUGAAGUGAUAAAUGCCCUGCUUCCAGGAAAAGCCUCUAAGCAUCAGGUAACACAGAAUCGUACCCCAAACCGACACAGGUGGUCAGGUAGAGAAUACCAAGGCGCUUGAGAGAACUCGGGUGAAGGAACUAGGCAAAAUGGUGCCGUAACUUCGGGAGAAGGCACGCUGGCGCGUAGGUGGAGGGAUUUACUCCCCGAGCCGAAGCCAGUCGAAGAUACCAGCUGGCUGCAACUGUUUAUUAAAAACACAGCACUGUGCAAACACGAAAGUGGACGUAUACGGUGUGACGCCUGCCCGGUGCCGGAAGGUUAAUUGAUGGGGUUAUCCGCAAGGAGAAGCUCCUGAUCGAAGCCCCGGUAAACGGCGGCCGUAACUAUAACGGUCCUAAGGUAGCGAAAUUCCUUGUCGGGUAAGUUCCGACCUGCACGAAUGGCGUAAUGAUGGCCAGGCUGUCUCCACCCGAGACUCAGUGAAAUUGAACUCGCUGUGAAGAUGCAGUGUACCCGCGGCAAGACGGAAAGACCCCGUGAACCUUUACUACAGCUUGACACUGAACAUUGAGCCUUGAUGUGUAGGAUAGGUGGGAGGCUUUGAAGCGCGGACGCCAGUCUGCGUGGAGCCAACCUUGAAAUACCACCCUUUAAUGUUUGAUGUUCUAACGUAGGCCCGUUAUCCGGGCUGCGGACAGUGUCUGGUGGGUAGUUUGACUGGGGCGGUCUCCUCCUAAAGAGUAACGGAGGAGCACGAAGGUCAGCUAAUCACGGUCGGACAUCGUGAGGUUAGUGCAAUGGCAUAAGCUGGCUUGACUGCGAGCGUGACGGCGCGAGCAGGUGCGAAAGCAGGUCAUAGUGAUCCGGUGGUUCUGAAUGGAAGGGCCAUCGCUCAACGGAUAAAAGGUACUCCGGGGAUAACAGGCUGAUACCGCCCAAGAGUUCAUAUCGACGGCGGUGUUUGGCACCUCGAUGUCGGCUCAUCACAUCCUGGGGCUGAAGUAGGUCCCAAGGGUACGGCUGUUCGCCGUUUAAAGUGGUACGCGAGCUGGGUUUAGAACGUCGUGAGACAGUUCGGUCCCUAUCUGCCGUGGGCGCUGGAGAAUUGAGGGGGGUUGCUCCUAGUACGAGAGGACCGGAGUGAACGCACCACUGGUGUUCGGGUUGUCAUGCCAAUGGCACUGCCCGGUAGCUAAGUGCGGAAAAGAUAAGUGCUGAAAGCAUCUAAGCACGAAACUUGCCCCGAGAUGAGUUCUCCCUGACCCCUUGAGGGUCCUGAAGGGACGUUGAAGACGACGACGUUGAUAGGCCGGGUGUGUAAGCGCAGCGAUGCGUUGAGCUAACCGGUACUAAUGACCCGUGAGGCUUAACCUUACAACGCCAGAGGCGUUU
rnacentral:rRNA from 1 species